AUUGAACGUUGGCGGCAGGCCUAACACAUGCAAGUCGGGCGUGCGGCGGACGGGUGUGUAUUGUAUGGGGAUCUGCCUGAUGGAGGGGGAUAACUACUGUAAACGGUAGCUAAUACCGCAUACCAUCACAUGAACUCAUAUGGGAUUAGCUUUGAGGUGGGGUAACGGCUCACCUAGGUGACGAUUCCUAGCUGGUCUGAGAGUAUGAUCAGCCACACAGAGACUGAGACACGGCCCAGGCUCCUACGGGAGGCAGCAGUGGGGAAUAUUGCACAAUGGGCGCAAGCCUGAUGCAGCCAUGCCGCGUGGAUGAAGAAGGCCUUCGGGUUGUAAAGUACUUUCAGUCGGGAGGCGUUACCGACAGAAGAAGCACCGGCUAACUCCGUGCCAGCAGCCGCGGUAAUUC
rnacentral:rRNA from 1 species